rnacentral:rRNA from 1 species
UACGGAGGGUGCGAGCGUUGUCCGGAAUUACUGGGCGUAAAGCGUGCGCAGGCGGUUAUGCAAGACAGAUGUGAAAUCCCCGGGCUCAACCUGGGAACUGCAUUUGUGACUGCAUGGCUAGAGUACGGUAGAGGGGGAUGGAAUUCCGCGUGUAGCAGUGAAAUGCGUAGAUAUGCGGAGGAACACCGAUGGCGAAGGCAAUCCCCUGGACCUGUACUGACGCUCAUGCACGAAAGCGUGGGGAGCAAACAGG